UUCGACGCAACGCGCAGAACUUUACCUGGGCUUGACAUCCCGAUCGCAUCCCAUGGAAACAUGGGAGUCAGUUCGGCUGGAGUCGGUGACAGGUGCUGCAUGGCUGUCGUCAGCUCGUGUCGUGAGAUGUUGGGUUAAGUCCCGCAACGAGCGCAACCCUUGUCCCUUAGUUGCCAGCAUUCAGUUGGGCACUCUAAUGAGACUGCCGGUGACAAACCGGAGGAAAGGUGGGGAUGACGUCAAGUCCUCAUGGCCCUUAUGGGUAGGGCUUCACACGUCAUACAAUGGUCGGUACAGAGGGUUGCCAACCCGCGAGGGGGAGCCAAUCCCAAAAAGCCGCUCUCAGUUCGGAUUGCAGGCUGCAACUCGCCUGCAUGAAGCCGGAAUCGCUAGUAAUCGUGGAUCAGCAUGUCACGGUGAAUACGUUCCCGGGUCUU
rnacentral:rRNA from 1 species